AACGAACGCUGGCGGCAGGUCUUAGGCAUGCAAGUCGAACGGGUGUAGCAAUACAUCAGUGGCGCACGAGUGAGUAACGCGUGGGAAUUUGCCCAUCGGUGGGGAAUAACGUUUGGAAACGAACGCUAAUACCGCAUACGUCGAGAAAUCGAGAAAGAUUUAUCGCCGAUGGAUAAGCCCGCGUUGGAUUAGCUUGUUGGUAGGGUAAUGGCCUACCAAGGCGAUGAUCCAUAGCUGGUCUGAGAGGACGAUCAGCCACGCUGGGACUGAGACACGGCCCAGACUCCUACGGGAGGCAGCAGCUAUGAAUAUUGGACAAUGGAGGAAACUCUGAUCCAGCCAUGCCGCGUGAGUGAAGAAGGCCUUCGGGUUGUAAAGCUCUUUUAUUAUUGAGAAAUAUGAUGGUAGAUGAUGAAUAAGGAUCGGCUAACUACGUGCCAGCCGCCGCCGUAA
rnacentral:rRNA from 1 species